rnacentral:rRNA from 1 species
CGGAGGGAUCAUUGCUGG